GACGAACGCUGGCGGCGUGCCUAAUACAUGCAAGUCGAGCGAAUUAUUGGGAGCUUGCUCCCGAUGGUUAGCGGCGGACGGGUGAGUAACACGUGGGCAACCUGCCUGUAAGACUGGGAUAACUUCGGGAAACCGGAGCUAAUACCGGAUAAUUCUUUCCCUCUCAUGAGGGAAAGCUGAAAGACGGUUUCGGCUGUCACUUACAGAUGGGCCCGCGGCGCAUUAGCUAGUUGGUGAGGUAACGGCUCACCAAGGCGACGAUGCGUAGCCGACCUGAGAGGGCGAUCGGCCACACUGGGACUGAGACACGGCCCAGACUCCUACGGGAGGCAGCAGUAGGGAAUCUUCCACAAUGGACGAAAGUCUGAUGGAGCAACGCCGCGUGAGCGAAGAAGGCCUUCGGGUCGUAAAGCUCUGUUGUCAGGGAAGAACAAGUACCGGAGUAACUGCCGGUACCUUGACGGUACCUGACCAGAAAGCCACGGCUAACUACGUGCCAGCAGCCGCGGUAAUACGUAGGUGGCAAGCGUUGUCCGGAAUUAUUGGGCGUAAAGCGCGCGCAGGCGGUCCUUUAAGUCUGAUGUGAAAGCCCACGGCUCAACCGUGGAGGGUCAUUGGAAACUGGGGGACUUGAGUGCAGAAGAGGAAAGCGGAAUUCCACGUGUAGCGGUGAAAUGCGUAGAGAUCUGGAGGAAUACCGGUGGCGAAGGCGGCCCCCUGGACAAAGACUGACGCUCAGGUGCGAAAGCGUGGGGAGCAAACAGGAUUAGAUACCCUGGUAGUCCACGCUGUAAACGAUGUCGACUUGGAGGUUGUGCCCUUGAGGCGUGGCUUCCGGAGCUAACGCGUUAAGUCGACCGCCUGGGGAGUACGGCCGCAAGGUUAAAACUCAAAUGAAUUGACGGGGGCCCGCACAAGCGGUGGAGCAUGUGGUUUAAUUCGAUGCAACGCGAAGAACCUUACCUACUCUUGACAUCCAGAGAACUUAGCAGAGAUGCUUUGGUGCCUUCGGGAACUCUGAGACAGGUGCUGCAUGGCUGUCGUCAGCUCGUGUUGUGAAAUGUUGGGUUAAGUCCCGCAACGAGCGCAACCCUUAUCCUUUGUUGCCAGCGGUUAGGCCGGGAACUCAAAGGAGACUGCCAGUGAUAAACUGGAGGAAGGUGGGGAUAACGUCAAGUCAUCAUGGCCCUUACGAGUAGGGCUACACACGUGCUACAAUGGCGCAUACAAAGAGAAGCGACCUCGCGAGAGCAAGCGGACCUCAUAAAGUGCGUCGUAGUCCGGAUUGGAGUCUGCAACUCGACUCCAUGAAGUCGGAAUCGCUAGUAAUCGUGGAUCAGAAUGCCACGGUGAAUACGUUCCCGGGCCUUGUACACACCGCCCGUCACACCAUGGGAGUGGGUUGCAAAAGAAGUAGGUAGCUUAACCUUCGGGAGGGCGCUUACCACUUUGUGAUUCAUGACUGGGGUGAAGUCGUAACAAGGUAACCGUAGGGGAACCUGCGGCUGGAUCACCUCCU
rnacentral:rRNA from 1 species